UACGGAGGGUGCAAGCGUUAUCCGGAUUCACUGGGUUUAAAGGGUGCGUAGGUGGGUUGGUAAGUCAGUGGUGAAAUCUCCGUGCUUAACAUGGAAACUGCCAUUGAUACUACUGAUCUUGAAUUUUCUGGAGGUAAGCGGAAUAUGUCAUGUAGCGGUGAAAUGCUUAGAUAUGACAUAGAACACCAAUUGCGAAGGCAGCUUGCUACAGGGAUAUUGACACUGAGGCACGAAGGCCAGGGGAGCAAACGGG
rnacentral:rRNA from 1 species